AGCAACUCCUCCUCUUCCGAGCGGGGUCACGAUACCGCCGGCGGGAUCCGGGAUUCCGAGAGUGAGGGCUGCUCGGCGGGUCAGGGCGGUCACCGGCUGGAGCCAUGACCGCGAACCUGCGCACCGCGCUCAUUUUCGGCGGCUUCAUCUCCCUGAUCGGCGCCGCCUUCUACCCCAUCUACUUCCGGCCCCUAAUGCGGCUGGACGAAUACCAGAAGGAACAAACCAUAAAUCGAGCUGGUAUUGUCCAAGAAGACGUGCAGCCACCAGACAUGGAGUACUGGAAGCAGGCAGUGGUCUGAAAACUUUCCAACAAAGCCAGAGUUCCAUCCCUGGAGCAGUGCAAGACUCUUACCUGUCUGCGUGAGGAAGGUCUUCAGUAGAUUGGUGGUUCGAAGCAAACAACUGGGCUUCACCCCAGGUAGUUUGAAAAGCACUGACCUGGAGGACGGAUCUGAGAGGGUGUUCUUGGGUCCGGCCCCGAGGUUCAGAAGCCUGUGUGCUCAGCUGGUGAAAGAACCCCCUGCCUGCUGGUGGCUCUGGGUUCUGAGGCAUCAGCAGAUGAAACACCCUGGUUUCUUAGCCCAGGGCUGGCCUCCACGGACAAGUGAUUUCACUCUCCCAGACUUCACUAGCACCUGCUGAGUGUGGGAGGCCUCCUGCAGUUUAUUCUAGCCUGUUGGUAACAAAAUACACAGUUCACUGGCAACCCCUGUGCCUGGGAAGGUAGCAGGAACACUGGGGGGCCUGCUGCUCCACUAAAUGUGGCCUGAAGAGGGACAUUAAGUCCGCCACCAUCUUCCCUGGAGCAGGACAGCCAGGCAGUGGCAGUAGGUCACCCUCCCCAGGAUCCCCCAGCUGACUGGAAGCAGCAGGGUGCCUUUCACUCCUCAUUUCUGCUAAGUGGUGUUUCCCAAACUCCGAUCAUCUGAACACAAUGGGGAGAAACGAGGAGUCACUGCUUCUUAUAAGAGUCAAGCAACGGUGCGCCGCAGUCUCUGCCUGGGGUUCUGUGUGUCACCUUAUGUGAUUAAAAUAAAUGCCCAAAAAGAUGGGAUGAUUUGUCCAGACCUUUUUGGUUGCGAGUGACAGAAAACCAAGCUCCAAAUAGUGCAGAAAGAGAAUUCAGUCAUGUAAUUGAAAACUCCAGGGUCACAGUUGUUUUCUAUUGUCACGAUCAUUUCUUAAACUGUAAACGUCAUUAAGUCACAAUCAUUUGUGAAUAUAAAAUGCAAUUAUAUCCAGCACCCUCAAGAAAGAGUCAUGCUGGAUAUCUUCAGUAGUUACAGGUUUUCUCUCCUGGUUGACAUUAGCUGCUCUCUCUGCCCAACAUCUUACUCCCUCUCUCAUGGGGACAUUUACUCCCAACUCUAAGUUUUGUUCAUCUUCCUCCCACUCUGUCUCCCUGUUUUGGGUGGAGCUGACUUCACCCCAUGCACCAGGAACAGGCGUCUGGUCCAAGUUUGGCCAAUCAGAACACUGGGCAAACUCCUGGCCACAGAGAUUGGAUCUGAGAUGAGCAUGGGGCCCAAACCAAGCUAGUCAGCUAGUCAAGCUAGUAGAGUUAAUCUUGCCUGUUGGCUGUGUGGUCAAACUAGAGGAGGGUCUCUCUUUCACCACAUUUGGAGCUAUUGGCAGCCACCUUGCCACCAUGAGGGCUGAUCUGAGACUAACACCAUUGUAGAAGGAAACAGCAGGAGAUGGAAGCCAGGUCUUAAUGAUGUUGUUCACACCUCCUGAGUUCACUUGUGUCUGAAGCAAGGAUAUCUCUGGAUUAAUAAAUAAUGUUAGUAAAUUCCCUUUCUGCACCAGUUUAGAUGGGUUUUGUCACAUGCAACCAGGAGAAUCCUGACAAGGCAUCUCAACUUCAUAUUUUAAUCAUUUUUUCUAAAAUGUAUUCCACAUGUCAUUUCCACCUUAAAUAAAGCAUGUUGAACGUAA